rnacentral:rRNA from 1 species
AUUGAACGCUGGCGGCCGGCCUAACACAUGCAAGUCGAACGAGUGGCGGACGGGUGAGUAAUAUCUGGGAACCUGCCCGAUGGAGGGGGAUAACUACUGGAAACGGUAGCUAAUACCGCAUACCAUCAGAUGUGCCCAGAUGGGAUUAGCUAGUUGGUGGGGUAACGGCUCACCAAGGCGACGAUCCCUAGCUGGUAUGAGAGGAUGACCAGCCACACUGGAACUGAGACACGGCCCAGACUCCUACGGGAGGCAGCAGUGGGGAAUAUUGGACAAUGGGCGCAAGCCUGAUGCAGCCAUGCCGCGUGUAUGAAGAAGGCCGUCGGGUUGUAAAGUACUGUAAGCGGGGAGGCGGUACCCGCAGAAGAAGCACCGGCUAACUACGUGCCAGCAGCCGCGGUAAUAC